rnacentral:lncRNA from 1 species
GUCAGUUUACCGAAAGAAAUUUCAGAAUCCAUGGUUCUAUGUCCAAGGAGAGACAUAUCAGUUUCUAAAUAGAAAUCAUUCAGUUUAUUUUGAAUCAACAUAAAAAAAGAGACUAAUUUUCUGUAGGAUGGGAUUAGAACACUUGCCUUUGAGAAUUUUGACCCUAAGUGAAAAGAUUUGGGCAAGAACCCUUAAAGCCCCAAUUUUUUUU